AAUAGGAACAGCUCCGGUCUACAGCUCCCAGCGUGAGCGACGCAGAAGACGGGUGAUUUCUGCAUUUCCAUCUGAGGAUACUCAAACUUGAAACCAACCUACCUUAUCGUGAGGAAGCCUGGUUCAAAUGGAGAGGCCAAUGUAGGUGUACAACAGACAGUCCCAGCUGAAAGGCCCAGCUUGCACACAACAUCACUGCCAGACGAAUGAGAAGGGCCUUAUGAUGAUUCCAGCAUCAGACAUUUGACUUGGCCCAGCUUUUGCUGAACUGCAUCUUAGUCUUGGGGAUCUUUUUCUUUUGAUCUAUUUAUUGCCUUGAAAUAUAGGUUAACAAUAUGAAA
rnacentral:lncRNA from 10 species